GGUGCUGUGGCUUAGUUGGUCAAUGCACCUGUCAGGCAAACAGGAGAUGCUGGGUUCAAAUCCCAGCAGCACCU